CCUACGGGAGGCAGCAGUCGAGAAUCAUUCACAAUGGGGGAAACCCUGAUGGAGCGACGCCGCGUGGGGGAAUGAAGGUCUGCGGAUUGUAAACCCCUGUCAUGGGGGAGCAAAGUAAAAAGAUAGUACCACAAGAGGAAGAGACGGCUAACUCUGUGCCAGCAGCCGAGGUAAUACAGAGGUCUCAAGCGUUGUUCGGAAUCACUGGGCGUAAGGCGUGCGUAGGCGGUUUCGUAAGUCGGGUGUGAAAGGCGCGGGCUCAACCCGCGGACGGCACCUGAUACUGCGAGACUAGAGUAAUGGAGGGGGAACCGGAAUUCUCGGUGUAGCAGUGAAAUGCGUAGAUAUCGGGAGGAACACUCGUGGCGAAGGCGGGUUCCUGGACAUUAACUGACGCUGAGGCACGAAGGCCAGGGGAGCGAAAAGGAUUAGAUACCCGUGUAGUC
rnacentral:rRNA from 1 species